CCUACGGGUGGCAGCAGUGGGGAAUAUUGGGCAAUGGACGAGAGUCUGAACCAGCAAAGCAGCGUGAAGGAUGAAGGCCCUCGGGGUGUAAAGCUUCUUUUAUAGGGAAAUAAAAUGUUCCAGGUGUUGGAUUUUGUAUGUCCGAUAUGAAUAAGCAUAGGCUAACUCAGUUCCAGACGCCGCGGUAAUACGAAGGAUCCGCGCGUUAUCCGGAUUGAUUGGGUUUAAAGGGAGCGUAGUGGGGUUGUUAAGUCAGUUGUGAAAGUUUGCGGCUCAACCGUGAAAUUGCAGUUUAAACUGGUAGUCUUGAGUACAGUAGAGGCAGGCGGAAUUCGUGGUGUAGCGGUGAAAUGCUUAGAGAUCACGAAGAACUCCGAUUGCGAAGGCAGCUCACUGGACUGCAACUGACACUGAGGCUCGAAAGUGUGGGGAGCAAACAGGAGUAGAUACCCGUGUAGUC
rnacentral:rRNA from 1 species